UGCAGGACUGGUCAGCAGCUCCUGAGCACCACGUUAGAGACCUGGGCUCUAAGCGAAGUACCAACUAAAGCCGGCGGCUGCUGCACUUCUGCCGUGGAGGUUUAGUUUGUCAGCAGGUUCCGUGAAAACCACAAGUAUUUAAGAGGAAAUGUUUUAAGACUGAGGCUACAGCAGCUUACUGUAGCUGCCUCCACUCUGUCCAAAGAAUAUUGUUAAAGGAGGUUUCCUGCCUGUCGGUACCUUUUACUGUGUGCCAGCGAUGCUGCCAAAGCGACGGAGCAAGCUGAUUCCCAAGGCCUUUAAAGAAGAAACCAUUCCAAAUUCACUGUUGGAGAUUAAUUUAUUUCAUAUUGACUUCAAGAACAGAAACAACAAGUUACUUAUGUACAAACAAACGUCCAGCACCUUGAAUAGAUGCUGCUCAUGGUGCUAAAUAUGGAGACAGUUCUUGACUCACCUCUGGCUUUAGGAAAGACACUAGACCAGUAAAAAAAAAUACAAAAGACCC